rnacentral:rRNA from 1 species
GAUGAACGCUGGCGGCGUGCUUAACACAUGCAAGUCGAACGGAAAGGCCCAAGCUUGCUGGGGUACUCGAGUGGCGAACGGGUGAGUAACACGUGGGUGAUCUGCCCUGCACUUCGGGAUAAGCCUGGGAAACUGGGUCUAAUACCGGAUAGGACCACAUUUUGGAUGGUGUGGUGGAAAGUUUUUCGGGGUGGGAUUAUCUCGCGGCCUAUCAGCUUGUUGGUGGUGUGAUGGCGUACCAAGGGGUCGUCGGGUAGUCGGCCCUAGGGGGGGUACGGCCACAAUGGGGACUGGAUGAGGGCCCGACUCCCUAAGGGGGGAGGAGGGGGGAAAAUUGGACAAAGGGGGCGAGCCUGAGGGAAGGACGCCGCCGGGGGGGAGAACGCCUUUGGGGUGUAAAAUCGUUUCCCUAUGGACGAAGCGUUUUUGUGACGGUACCUGGAGAAGAAGCACCGGCUAACUACGUG